CGUAACUAAGUUGCUGCGGUUAAAAAGCUCGUAGUUGGAUCUCGACGGCGGGCGCGAGGUGCGUCCAGGGCGGCGUUCACUUUGCGUCGCAGCCUCUCCGUUCGGCUCAGCGUCCCCUGGUGCUCUUGACCGGGCGUCCAGGGGCGGCCGAAACGUUUACUUUGAAGAAAUUGGAGUGCUCAAAGCAGGCAAACCCACGCCUGGACAAUGGUGCAUGGAAUAAUGGAAUAGGACCUCGGUUCUAUUUUGCUGGUCUUCGGAGCUCGAGGUAAUGAUUAAAAGGGACUGCCGGGGGCAUUCGUACUGCGGCGCGAGAGGUGAAAUUCCGGGACCGUCGCAAGACGAACGAGAGCGAAAGCAUUUGCCAAGAAUGUCCCCAUUAAUCAAGAACGAAAGUCAGAGGUUCGAAGACGAUCAGAUACCGUCGUAGUUCUGACCGUAAACCAUGCCAACCGUCGAUCCGCCGAAGCUCUGGGUGUACGGCUCGUGCACAACAAUGACUCGGCGGGCAGUCUCCGGGAAACCAGAGUUUUUGGGUUCCGGGGGGAGUAUGGUUGCAAAGCUGAAACUUAAAGGAAUUGACGGAAGGGCACCACCAGGAGUGGAGCCUGUGGCUUAAUUUGACUCAACACGGGGAACCUCACCCGGCCCGGACACCGGAAGGAUUGACAGAUUAAUGGCUCUUUCUUGAUUCGGUGGGUGGUGGUGCAUGGCCGUUCUUAGUUGGUGGAGCGAUUUGUCUGGUUAAUUCCGAUAACGAACGAGACUCUAGCCUGCUAAAUAGUUCCGCGGGCUCCUCAGCGACCCGCUCUCAAGAGAACUUCUUAGAGGGACUGGUGGCGCGUCGUAGCCACACGAGAUUGAGCAAUAACAGGUCUGUGAUGCCCUUAGAUGUUCGGGGCCGCACAUGCGCUACAAUGGAUGGAUCAGCGUGCGUCACGCCCGGCCCGAAAGGGUUCGGGAAACCCACUGAACCCCAUUCGUACCUGGGAUUGGGGCUUGCAAUUGUUCCCCAUGAACUCGGAAUUCCCAGUAGGCGCGAGUCAUCAGCUCGCGCCGAUUACGUCCCUGCCCUUUGUACACACCGCCCGUCGCUAGUACCGAUCGAUCCGGUUGAUGAGCCCUUCGGAUUGGUCCCUUGGGCCCGUCGUCGUUCGCUUCUUCGGGGGUGGCGGCGUGGGCUCUCGGAUGUUGCCGAGAAGAUGGGCGAAUUUCCCGGGUUAGAGGUCCUAAAAGUCGUAACAAGGUAU
rnacentral:rRNA from 1 species